rnacentral:sRNA from 1 species
AGAGUGAGGAGGAGGUGGUGGACGCUGUUUUGUCGUCAGCAAUGACUUGGUGCGAUAAAGUCUGGGCGAAUCGUGAGGCGACCGCGAUGAUUCGAGAAGAGCUUGCAUUGCUGUCUCCGGACCACGACGAGAGGUUUGGCAUCGUCGCUCGACUGAUGCUGAGGGCGCUGC